UCUUGAAGAGAAGGUCCAAUCCAAAGGGGUUCUCCCCUGCUGUGACGUCACGAGCGAGGGCAAUGGUAGUAAGGCCCUCUCCAAAACAGUGUGAGUGUAAGCAGAGCGUACGUACGAUUAAAAGCUAGAAGAAAGCACGCUGAUCGAAGAUUAUCUUGGCUGACCGCCCCUGGCUGUGACGUCAUCAAACGUUAGCUCCGGCCUUCUCUUCAAGAUGGCCUUGGUUCUAUGCUGCGCGCGACCAACGAGAUAUAUACUGGUAGUAGAGAGAGUAUCUGCAACCUCCAACCGGUUCCAACAUUAGUGUCAUGUGACUGCUGGUCGAAUUCCGAAAGUCCGGAAAUACGAGUACUUUACAUUUAUUUCUAUUGGACGAAAGACGCCUGCUCUGCUUGGUCAUAUAAAAUUUAAGAAAAAAUGGUUAUCCGCUGCAGCGCCUAUGGAUGUAAAGAAAGUUUUGUAAAAGGACCUGUAACCUUUCAUAGCUAAGUUAAAACUGCAUGAUUUAUUAUUUUAUUUCCAGUGUUUUUGUGAUUUUACUAUCUCUGUUGAAUUGGUUGGAAAGUUUCAGCCAUAUUGUAUAAGAAAAUUUUCUCUGUAUAUGAUUUUUUCAGCAUGUAAUAAUAGCAUCAAAAUGCAUUAAAUACUGUGACACUAUUUACUGGAA